rnacentral:rRNA from 1 species
UACAGAGGGGGCUAGCGUUGUUCGGAAUUACUGGGCGUAAAGGGCGCGUAGGUGGCCUGUUAAGUCGAACGUGAAAUCCCCCGGGCUCAACCCGGGAACUGCGUCCGAGACUGGCAGGCUCGAAUCCGGGAGAGGGAUGUGGAAUUCCAGGUGUAGCGGUGAAAUGCGUAGAUAUCUGGAGGAACACCGGUGGCGAAGGCGGCAUCUGGACCGGUAUUGACGCUGAGGCGCGAAAAGCCAGGGGGAGCAAACAGG